ACGAACGCUGGCGGCGUGCUUAACACAUGCAAGUCGAACGGAAAGGCCCUGCUUUUGUGGGGUGCUCGAGUGGCGAACGGGUGAGUAACACGUGAGUAACCUGCCCUUGACUUUGGGAUAACUUCAGGAAACUGGGGCUAAUACCGGAUAGGAGCUCCUGCUGCAUGGUGGGGGUUGGAAAGUUUCGGCGGUUGGGGAUGGACUCGCGGCUUAUCAGCUUGUUGGUGGGGUAGUGGCUUACCAAGGCUUUGACGGGUAGCCGGCCUGAGAGGGUGACCGGCCACAUUGGGACUGAGAUACGGCCCAGACUCCUACGGGAGGCAGCAGUGGGGAAUAUUGCACAAUGGGCGGAAGCCUGAUGCAGCAACGCCGCGUGCGGGAUGACGGCCUUCGGGUUGUAAACCGCUUUCGCCUAUGACGAAGCGUGAGUGACGGUAAUGGGUAAAGAAGCACCGGCUAACAACGUG
rnacentral:rRNA from 1 species